CAGAACCCAAGCGCCUGAGACAGGACCCCAGCGGCUCCACCAUGGACUUGGUGCCAAGCUGCGUUUUCCUCCUGAUCAUUUCUCAAGGUGUCCAGUGUGAGGUGCAGCUGGUGGAGUCUGGGGGAGGCCUGGUGCAGCCCGGGGAGUCUCUGAGACUCUCCUGUGCAGCCUCUGGAUUCACCUUCAGUAGCUACCUGAUGAGCUGGGUCCGCCAGGCUCCAGGGAAGGGGCUGGAGUGGGUCUCGCGCAUUAGUAGUAGUGGUGGUAGCACAUACUACGCCAACUCCGUGAAGGGCCGUUUCACCAUCUCCAGAGACAACGCCAAGAACUCGCUGUAUCUGCAAAUGAGCAGCCUGAGAGCCGAGGACAUGGCCGUGUAUUACUGUGCAAGAGACACAGUGAGG